rnacentral:sRNA from 17 species
GUCAACGACCCAGCACGGAAGUGACUGGGCUUCGGGGCUAAAACUUCAUUUUCAGUUGACCAGCCUGAUACCUUUGAUGUCUAGGUUGUGUGAGUAAUGACACCAAGUGGAUGCGUAGCUAGUCCCCUGUUCUGUC